UACGUAGGUGGCAAGCGUUGUCCGGAUUUACUGGGCGUAAAGAGCGCGCAGGCGGUCGUCCAAGUCGCGUGUGAAAGCCCCCGGCUCAACUGGGGAGGGUCACGCGAUACUGAUCGACUGGAAGGCAGGAGAGGGUAGUGGAAUUCCCGGUGUAGUGGUGAAAUGCGUAGAUAUCGGGAGGAACACCAGUGGCGAAGGCGACUACCUGGCCUGUUCUUGACGCUGAGGCGCGAAAGCUAGGGGAGCAAACGGG
rnacentral:rRNA from 1 species